rnacentral:lncRNA from 1 species
AAAAAAUGUGUAUGUUAAAAGGUAACGGGGGCUUGAAUUUUUGAAAUUUUUGCCAAUUUAAUAUUUCGUUAUUAGCCAAGCAGGGUUGGCGCCUAUUUAGUUGUCCAGAUUCAUUAUUAGCCAGAGUUCUUAAAGCCAAAUAUUACCUACAUUCAACUUUUCUAAAUGCACAGCUGGGGAGCUUACCUUCACUUACCUGGAGGAGCAUCUGGGCAACAAAGGGCCUCCUUCAAGAUGGGCUUUGUUAGUGAGUAGGCAGAGGGACUGAGAUUUCUAUAUAGAAUGAUUGUUGGAUUCCAGGGAGUGCUGCAGUUGGUUGGCAAAAUAGAGUUGAAAAUAGUGGUUUGCAAUUAGUCUUGGAUCUAAUCGGUAGCUCAACUAGAACAUGGAAAAGGGAGCUAGUGAACAGUACUUUUCAUACGGAAACUGCCAAAAAGAUUUUACAGAUCCCUUUGGCAGAAGCGAAGCAUGAAGAUUUCCAAGUAUGGAAAGAGGAACCUUCGGGAGUUUUCUCAGUACGGAGUGCCUAUACACUAUUACAACGUGCUAGCAUGGAUCCUAAUAGUUAUUUAUUACAGACCGAAUCUAAAGAUUUCUUUAGAAAACUAUGGGACAUACAGCUACCAUAAAAAAUUACAAUUACAAUAUGGAGGAUCUACUGGAAUUACAUCUCUACAUUGAUCAAUCUAAGUUACAAGAGAGUGGCUAACAACAUCAUCUGCCCUUGCUGUGGAGUUGGAGAAGAGGAUAGUGAUCAUUUCUUUAGACAGUGUCCUGCAAUCAGAGAAAUAUGGUCAAACCUUAAUCUCUCUUGGGGUAUAACCAAAAUGGAUCAAAGUAUCGAUGAAUGGCUUACCUGGUUUUUUGUAAGAGGUACCAAUGAACAGUGUAGGAUCUUUUGUUGCGCAUUGUGGCUCAUAUGGAACUCAAUGAACCAGUUUGUUCAUGAAAGGAAAUCCAUUUCAGUAUGGGAUCUAGUUGAGAAAAUCAGAAGUUAUUUAGCUGAACUAGAGGGGAUUAGAGAUAAAAAAAACUUGCCUCUAUUCCUGAAAACACCCAUAGCCAAACAGAAGAGACAUCGAGAUCAACGUAACUAUUUGAUACAGCCUUUGACGGGAGAAAUUUUCGAUCGGCCUUCCGGAAUAGUGGUGCGGGACCGGAUGAGGGUGUUUCAAGCUUCAAAGACGACUCUCCAUGAAAAUAGCUCCUCCUCAUUCGUAGCUGAAGCUCAUGCAGGGUUAGAAGCCAUCAAGUUAGCAUCAUUAAUGGGUUUAUCUUCAGUAAUAAUAAAGGGAGACUCGAAGACAGUUAUUAAGAAAUGUAAAUCGAAUAAAGAAGACAAACCUGUUCUUGGAGCGAUCAUUCGAGAUAUUCAGAUCAAAAGAGCCAGUUUUCAAGACGUUAUUUUCCAAUUUAUUCCUAGAUCGAAGAAUAUUCAAGAAAAUAAUCUAGCAAAAAGGGCACUAGAGAAAAGGGAAGCAUCAUACUUGAAGAGGGAAGAGAGGAGUCACAGCGAGACAGAUCCGGAAGGUAGAUGGAGAGGAGAACCAGAUUGAUUUUGUUUUUGAAAUGAGGAAAUAAGAAGUUAUGAUAGCUGAUAUCUAGAAAAUCUUUGAAAAGCUAUCUUGGAAACGGUGUGGCUAUUUGAUAGAAGGAGACGGUCGAGGUAUUACUGGCGAGGCUGUCCUUUGAUUUGACUGGGUUUACUAAUUAGUUUUUUUCUCCAGAUAUUUUAAGUUGUGUUUUUAAGUUUCCUGUUCUUUUAGUUUUUCAAUGUUCGGGCUCAUUACUUCUGAUAAAAGGUAAGGCCCAGAUGUUAAUUUUUCUUUUUAAUUUUCUCAAUAU